AGCACCCACGGACGAGACGGGAAAAGUGUCCCAUGUCGGGGAUCACAACCCUCUGACGCGCAACAGUUUUUAAUGUUCAAUUUGUCGUGGUGUCUGACUAACAAGCAGACUGGUUAUGAGUCGCGUGAGGAUCAAAAAUCUUUAAAACCAGUUUCAAAGUCGAUACAUGGCACAUAUAAUUUGGUUUGAUAUAUCUAAAGCAUUGGCAUGAUACAGUUACAUAACAAUUAAGGAACGAUAUACUAGUGAGUAUAAUCACGUGACCAAAUAUGGUACAGUUACGGUUGACAAACACCUUUUUCAACAGUAAAUAAAAGUACCAAAGAUUUCACCAUCGCAAAUCAAACUAAACGAUAUGGCAAAUCAAAAAAGUCUUAAAAGAUUGCAAAAAUAUUGGAGGGGGGGGGGGGAUCUCGUCACAAACACAACACAAGGCCACUCGAGUAGCUCAUUAUAUAGGAAUAAAGUUGGCAAUAGCAACUCGAGGCUUUUAAACUAUAUCCUCAAUGCUUCGAGUGAUUUUCAACAGUUUGCACUUUCAGAAGCAAACACAACUAAUUAUUGUAUUCAGAUUCAUUGCUCCUCAACAUAUUUCACUGCUAACAAACAAAAUGCAAUUACAUGCAUUUGUGUUUUUUACCCGGUUUUUUUUUUUUUUUUUUUUUUUUUUUUGUUUAUUUUUUUUUUUUUUUUUUCAUGAGGAAAAAUAUAAGCAUGUCAUACUUUGUCUUCGCAGUUUUUUCUAAGUCAUGAUAACUUUAUCUGUACUUAAUCAUCUCAUUUCCUGUCUUAACGCUUAGAUGUGAGAUUUCUACUCCAUUUAAUUUGUUUUUCAUUUGAUUUAAUCUCUUUAUCGAUUUGAUUUGUUAUAAAUACAUGCAGCUGUAUGUGAAAAGCGGACAUACACAAAAGGCUCACGACAUAAUAGGUUCAACUGUACUUGCAUCGCAACGAAUAUGGCCCUGGUACUUUCAUCAGUGGCGAUGAGUUUUGUUAUUCAUCCUGUAAUAUUUCCUAAUUUUAACAAGGUGAGUUUUCACUUUUUGAUCUUACAAAGUGUGCGAAAGGUCUUAGAAGACUCUCUCUCUCUCUCUCUCUCUCUCUCUCUCUCUCUCUCUCUGAGUUUUCAAUUGUUGAUCUUAAGUGUGUGAAAAGUCUUAAAAGAAUCUGUAUAUGUCUGCGUGUAUGUUGAAAGGGUUCUCUCUCUCUCUCUCUCUCUCUCUGUAUUACUAACUAGAUACCGUGUAAAUGAUAUGAAUGUCUUCUUCACUGGUACUAUUUAUAGGAUACCAUGCAUAAGGACCCCUGCUUUGAUGUGAUAACUCCAACAUACUAUCCACUACUUCCGCUGAUAACAGGUGUCACUCCAGACAAUAUAUUGAACAUGGGCAGCUCCUGUGAGGUUUGCUGCAUGAAAAGGGGAUAUGCCGGAAUCUUCUACAGAAUCUUUGAUCCAACCUCAACCGAUGACAUGAAAUUCUAUCAUGAUGGGAACGAAAUUCCAUUUCCACCUACGACUACUCUAAACACGUCCUUUGGAAAGGUCUACCACACAGUGUUUGAGGGGGGCUUUAGAACCGGAAACUAUGAUAUUCGUUUGCAAAACCGUUAUGGUUUCACGAGGUUGAAGUUCAAGAUCCUUUAUGAUUAUACAGAUUCUGGAUGUACUUCGCCACUGCAAUGUCAACGCAAUCGUAUAGGAAGAUCUACUGCUGGUUAGGUCUAGGAGAAUCGUCGGUUCAGGCGUGAGAUACACGUGGCUCUUGAUCAACACGGAAGUUCACUCACACAACUCUACAUGUUACACUUAUAAAUAAAGAUAUUACACA